rnacentral:rRNA from 1 species
UACGGGGGGAGCAAGCGUUGUUCGGAUUUACUGGGCGUAAAGGGCGCGUAGGCGGUCAGCACAAGUCAGUUGUGAAAUCUCCGGGCUUAACUCGGAAAGGUCAACUGAUACUGUGCGACUAGAGUGCGGAAGGGGCAACUGGAAUUCUCGGUGUAGCGGUGAAAUGCGCAGAUAUCAGGAGGAACACCGGUGGCGAAGGCGGUGGUCUGGGCCUUACCUGACGCUGAGGAGCGAAAGCAUGGGGAGCAAACAGG